rnacentral:rRNA from 1 species
UCUACGUAACCUUCCGGAGGUCUACAAGAGUACGGAGCUACUAAAAUUAAUAGUGGCGGACGGGUGAGUAACACGUUGGAACCUCGCCCGAAGAGGGAUACUACCGAAGGUGGCUAAUACCCAUAUACUCCGAUUUAUUCGGAGGAAAGCUUUCGCGCUUCGGGAGGGGCCUGCGCAACAUUAGCUAGUUGGUGAGGUAAAAGCUCACCAAGGCGACGAUGUUUAGCUGGUUUUGAGAGGAUGAUCAGCCACACUGGGACUGAGACACGGCCCAGACUCCUACGGGAGGCAGCAGUAAGGAAUAUUCCACAAUGGGGGAAACCCUGAUGGAGCAAUACCGCGUGCAGGAAGACGCUUUUCGGAGUGUAAACUGCUUUUAUCUACCAAGAUUAUGACGGUAGUAGAUGAAUAAGGACCGGCUAACUACGUG